rnacentral:rRNA from 1 species
GAUGAACGCUAGCUACAGGCUUAACACAUGCAAGUCGAGGGGCAGCAUGAACUUAGCUUGCUAAGUUUGAUGGCGACCGGCGCACGGGUGAGUAACGCGUAUCCAACCUGCCCUUUACGCGGGGAUAGCCUUCUGAAAGGAAGUUUAAUACCCGAUGAAUUCGUUUAGUCGCAUGGCUUGAUGAACAAAGAUUUAUCAGUAAAGGAUGGGGAUGCGUCCCAUUAGCUGGUUGGUGGGGUAACGGCCCACCAAGGCGACGAUGGGUAGGGGUUCUGAGGGGAAGGUCCCCCCANAUUGGAACUGAGACACGGUCCAAAACUCCUACGGGAGGCAGCAGUGAGGAAUAUUGGUCAAUGGGCGCGAGCCUGAACCAGCCAAGUAGCGUGGAGGACGACGGCCCUACGGGUUGUAAACUCCUUUUGUCGGAGAGUAAAGUACGCUACGUGUAGCGUAUUGCAAGUAUCCGAAGAAAAAGCAAUC